rnacentral:lncRNA from 1 species
AUUUGUGUGUCUUACUAGUUGCAUCUAUAACUAGUAAUUCUGUUUUUGUUGCACAUAUUUAGGGGGAGGAGAAGUACCUUUGUGCAUGUGUGCAUUACUAGUAACUAUAGCUAGUAAUUAUGUUGCUUCUGCUGCUGUUUAAAUUGUUAUUUAACUGCUGAUAGUUUUCUUGUGAACAAAAAGGAUAGAUAUAUGUUUUAGCCAAAAUUUGCCAAAGGGGGAGUUUGUU